UACGGGGGGGGCAAGCGUUGUUCGGAAUUACUGGGCGUAAAGGGCUCGUAGGCGGCCAACUAAGUCGGAUGUGAAAUCCCCAGGCUCAACUUGGGAACUGCAUCCGAUACUGGAUGGCUUGAAUUCGGGAGAGGGAUGCAGAAUUCCAGGUGUAGCGGUGAAAUGCGUAGAUAUCUGGAGGAACACCGGUGGCGAAGGCGGGUCUCUGGGCAUCUCCUGACGCUGAGGCGCGAAAGCGUGGGGAGCAAACGGG
rnacentral:rRNA from 1 species